rnacentral:rRNA from 1 species
UACAGAGGUGGCAAGCGUUGUUCGGAAUUACUGGGCGUAAAGGGCGCGUAGGCGGUUCGGUAAGUCCUGUGUGAAAUCCCUCGGCUCAACUGAGGAACUGCACGGGAGACUGCCGGACUUGAGUUCGGGAGAGGGAAGCGGAAUUCCGGGUGUAGCGGUGAAAUGCGUAGAUAUCCGGAGGAACACCGGUGGCGAAGGCGGCUUCCUGGACCGACACUGACGCUGAGGCGCGAAAGCGUGGGGAGCAAACAGG